CAGUUCCUUCAACCUUUCCUCAUAGGGGAGGUGCUCCAGUCCUGAUCAUCUUAGUGGCCCUCCUCUGGACCUGCUCCAUGAGCUCAAUGUCUCUCUUGUACCGGAGGCCCCAGGCCUGGACGCAGUACUCCAGAUGAGGCCUCACAGGAGGUUUAGACUGAUUACCUUGCCUGUAUGGACCAGACACCUGCAGUCUGAAAGGACAUCGAAGGUAUUAUGCAGACUUUGAAUAGUACUGAACAGAGCUAGUAUGAGUGAGGAGCCAACAACCAAAGCAACUGCAUAUGGGUUCUUUUGGAGAAUAUUCUGAGGCAUGUAAUUGAGCAUAGGACAUAACCUGCUUGAAAGCUCAUACACUGCAUACAUAAAUUCAGGAUCCAAAAAAUCUUCAGUGAAUUAUACUCACUAUUACAGCAAAGCAGAUAUACUGCUUUUCUUCUCUGGAUGGACCCUAGAAUCAACAAUGCUCAGGAACAUCAAUUUUAAGAACAGUUGUCUACAAAAAUUGUUUCAGCAAAGAUGAGAGAAAAAAGUAAAUACUGACCCAACAUGUCCUUUUGACCAGGAUUUACUGUAAUGAGAAACUUAAGACUAAAAUAAGAGCAAGACUUUGAACAGUAUUAAACAUGCAUAUUAUUGUAUUAUAUUAUUUACUUUCCCUAAAAGGUUGUCUUGGUUAGAAAAGAAGAUGCAGAUCUCUGUUUCAUAUUGAAAAAGUUGAAGUAACUGAUUUUCACUAGGGGAAAAAAAGUCAUGCUAGACUUAAAUGCUUUGUGAUUCUAACUUAAAAUGUGAGAGAUAGUAGAUACUGGACAGUUGUACUUCGGUUUCAUUAAUUUAGUGAAACUGCAAACAUUUUUCUACUGUCUUAAAUCAGCACUUUGGGGCAAUUUCUACAUAUAAUUUUCAACAUUUCAUCCCCACACUCCAAUUUUGUUCACCAUCUGGCAAACUGCAGACACCAGUGUAAACAGUUAACUGCUUUUUGAUGAUGUAAAGACUGUAUGAAAGUAUAAAGCUCUACCCACCUCUUUAAAACUAGAUUUGCUUCUAAAACAGAUGACACCAGUUUUUUAUUAAACAGAGAUCUUACAUUCUUCUACCCCUGCUACAGGUUUGCAUUUUAUCUUUUAAAACAAGCCAGAGAAAUGGUUUACUCAGUUUGUUAUCGGCACCUUUUCCCACACAGGAGAGGAAACGCUGCCAUUACAUGCUGCUCUCCAAACUUCCAUCAAAAACCAUUUAGUCCACAAAAUUGUUAUGUGAGCUCUCUUCCUUAGAGCUCAUUAAAAGGUAAAAAUUUGGACCGCUGCUAGCCCCUAAUUAUACCAAGAAAAACCAACCAAGAAAUAUAUAUACAGCGACCAAGAAAUUGCAUAUUAAUGCAAAGUCAAGCCUGAUUUAUGUCAUCAUGUAGGAGCUGAAAGACUGUGACAGCUUAAGGACCAGCUCAGACAGAACAAGCAGCAGUAAGUGCAGUAGCUCAAAUACUUGCCUUGUACUUACAUUAAGCUGCUGCUAGAUCCAGAAGAGCUGAAAGAAGCAUAUAAUUUGAUAGUCUUAAGUUCUGCAUAGAUCUCUAGAAUACACUCCACAUCUCAAGUAUUACAGAUUGGACCCAGAGCUGGAUCAACUUGUGCAAUGAAGUAGAUCUGCUGAAAGGAAUGCAUCUGAAAUCUUGCUGAAGAAUACAGUACUUCACCGUGACUUGUAGUACUUGUAUCAACAUUGCUUCCCUAGCAGGGGGGUUGGAACUACAUGAUAUUAAAGGUCCGUUCCAUCCCAAACCAUUCUACAAUUAGACCUGAAAGCUCUGUUCUAACAGAACCGAAUGACACAUCUGAUUUGAAAGGCAGUCUUAUGAAACAACAUAAGCAGAUAAUUGUGAUGGUUCCCAGGUGCUGUAACCUGUGGAAGUUUCCUGCCUUACCUAUUAUCAGCUACCUCACAUCAAAGCUUGCUUUUUACAAUGUAUAUGUAGGUAAGAAGCCAAAUAAUCCUCCUCUGAGUGGGAACACUACAUUGAGUCAUACUUCAGAAAUAUUCACUGUCCUGAAAUCAACUCUUCAAAAAUGAAGGAAAACAAUAUAUAAGAAUGUAAUUGAGUUUGUAUCUGUACGAAGAGUACACACUGUUUUUUCAUAUUUCAGAAACUUGAACUCACUUUCUAUAGCAAUAUUUUAUAAUUUUCAGUGAUGCACUGUGCUAAAGCCACUGAUUGAUUACACAUUUGAGACAAACAACUAUGUACCUGUUCUCUUAAACCUGGAUUUAAGAUGCAAAUGAAAGUAGAAAUGUAUUUACAAUAGUACAAUAAGAAGGUUAAAAAAAAGAUAACCUCUCUUCACAAUUCAUUCACAUUUUUGCAUGGGUAAGAAUUUAACUUCAGACAAAGCAAUAAAUUAGGUUUUUUGGAAGGUAAAGCACAUGCACAUUAAGAAUCAAAAUGUAUUAAUUGCAAUUGAUGGGAAGAGGACCAAAAUUAAUAGCACAAAGCAAACUGCUUUGCCACUACAGAACAGUCGCAGAAAGUUGACAACACGCUCUCACCCUUCUUAAUGCUACACCCUUUUCUGUCAGAGCAAAGUAGAACUGUGAACUCUUGGCAAUGAGAGCAUGUUUGAUAGAAGUGAAUGUUCUAGCACGGUAUACCAUGAGUUCUCAGAACAGUCCUAUCUUUCCUCUGUGAGAAAACACAAAUGGAGGGCAUGCCUUUAUACGACAAAACACCUUUUUGUUCCUAGAAAAACAUUACUGUCCAGUUUCAUAGACUGAUCUGCAGCGUUGCUCUCCAACAUGCCCUUAGUUACAGGGCAGGAACCUGGACCAGAUGACCUGCCAGGAUCCUUUCUAAAUCAGACAAUUCUCUGAUAUGGUUCACUCUUCAUAUUCACAGAAACUUUAAAAAACAAACAAACAAAAAACCCUAAGAAUAGAGUGUUUUACCCAUGCUCUUGCAUGUAGUUUUAAUUCAACAUAUUAUUGCACUUCAAAAAUUUGAGCAAUUCGAAACAGUCACUAAAGAGUAUAUACACAACAAAAUACAAUAUACAAACCAGUAUUCCUUUGGCUGCCUUUCCAGUGAAUUACUUCAAAAUAUUUAGUGAAUUCUCAUUUUAUUUGAUUGCUUCCAUUCUAUACACUAGAUUUCCAAUUAACAAUAUUUCAAAACGAAAACAGUUCCCAACUUCACUACAUUUUCCACUUCAGCACUUAUUUAAAAGACAUGAAAGUUACUUUAAUAAUGCAGACUUGCAAUUGAUUUCAAGUCAGAGCUUACAAAUAGCAAAACUUCAUUAUUUAGCCAUGACUACUUUCCAUAACAGUAAACACUAUACAAUGUUUAAAGAUUAAAUGAACAUCAAUUUAUCAAUCAAGUAUUCAAAGACUUGCCAUAAGAAAGUGUGAAGGUUAAUAACCUUUCAUGUAAUUUAGAAGUGACUCUCCACAUGCUUGCUGUAUCUGCUAAAACCAUCCUGUCACCCCGCCCUCCCCCAAGUCUUCAUCAUACUCACUGAUGAAACAAAGGAGUAAUUUAUUUAGAGUGAUAAAAACUAAUUUCCAGACCGACAGCCUUGAUUUACUGGGGGAAGAGGGGAAAACGUUACAUUUCAGUAGUUACUUGCACAUGAACAGACUUAGUUCUGCUUCACAAAAAUAUCUAAUCCAGCUGAGAUCUUAAGCAAAGGACAUCAGUGCUAAACUUUAAGUAAGUAAUUUUGUAUAUACUCCUCCAAUCUAACAAAAAGAACUCUAAAAUCAGCCAGUUAAUCUCUUAUGCUUUCAGUGUAUUUUGAACAUUGACACAAUACAUUUGCAAGCUUAUUCUACUGUUGCACAAAGUAGCAGAAUGAAACUUAACUGAAGUUAUGAGUGGAAAGUUGACUAAGAAUGGCUUACACGUGCACACACUGGUUUCUAAUUUGCUUUAUUCA